rnacentral:lncRNA from 1 species
AAAGCACAGAGGAUUUGCUGCUAUAAAAUGGCCUGCGCUCUAAACAUUUGGUAAUAUCCAAGUCCACCCUUGGAAGCCAUGGCCAACCGUAGCGUCUACGCAAAGCUUAUGCAUAGCCACCCCUAUUUCUUUCGACGUCUAAGCUCCGCCUCUUUUUCCUCCAUCGCCGCCUCCCCUUCCCCGCCCAAUUUCAAAGAAAAAACCGAGCCCACCACCAUCGCCGACAAAUCCAUCGUUAAUUUAGAUGAUUUUAAGGGGCUGUUUUCAUCUGUUCCAAUCUCGAAGUUGAUAAAAUCAUCGAUCAAUCUUCACUUGACGGCAAUUGAACCCGUGGUUGAUAUGGGCUUGUGGGUUGUGAAUUCGAGGCUCAUGGAAACACCGUUAUUGAGAGAGAUAAUAUUGGGAGUCAUAAAAAAUACGGUUUAUGAACAUUUUUGUGCGGGUAAGGAUUUGAAAGAGGUGGGUACUUCUGUGAAUAAGCUUUACGAUUAUGGACUUAAAGCUAUGUUGGAUUAUGGCUUGGAACAUGUGAAUGAUAACGAGUCAUGUGAUCGGAAUUUCAAUGAGUUUAUGCAAACUAUUGAAUCAACAAAGUUUCUCCCACCUUCUUCUGUAAGUUGUUUCUUAUUCUCUAAUCUUAUUUUUGGACCAUAUCAAUGAAUCUGUCUUAAGAAGCCUUGACGAUGCAGGUCAGAUUCAUUUUUUCAUCAAAACUGUGAUUUGCACACAAUUUUCACGUAUGACGCACGGUGAAACUUGGAUUUUAUGCUCUGAUACCACGUUUGGGAUGAAAAAUUUAUGAUUACAGGUUAGCUUCGUUGUAGUGAAGAUCACAGCAAUAUGUCCUCUUAGUUUGCUUAGAAGAGUAAGUGAUCUACUGAGAUGGCAAUACAAGGAUAAAUCCCUUCAUCUUCCAUGGAAGCUUAAAACCUUUCCAAUUUUAUCAGAUUCCAGCCCUUUUUACCACUCCCCGAAUAGGCCAGAGCCAUUGACCCAAGAAGAAGAAAACAAUCUCCAUUUAUCCCACCAAAGAUUAACAAAACUUUGCGAGAAAUGUGUCGAAACGAAUGUUUCCCUGUUAAUUGAUGCAGAGGAUACGUCGCUUCAACCUGCAAUUGACUACUUUGGGUACACGGCAUCAAUCAUGUAUCACAAAGAUGAUGAGCCUAUAGUAUUUGGGACAAUUCAGGCUUACUUGAAAGAUGCAAAGGAGAGAUUGGUUAAUGCAAAGAAAGCUGCAGAUAAAAUGGGAGUGCCAGUUGGGUUUAAAUUGGUGAGGGGUGCAUAUAUGUCAAGUGAAAGACAAUUGGCUUCUUCUUUGGGUGUCAAGUCCCCAAUUCAAGAUAGUAUUCAAGAAACACAUCAGUGUUACAAUGAUUGUGCAGCUUUUAUGCUUCAUGAAAUUGCCAAUGGCUCGGGGUCAAUUAUUCUUGCAACCCAUAAUGUGGAAUCAGGUAAAGAUUUUGAAAUAAAUAUCAAUCUAGGUGGCGGUGGGACCUCGACCAACAGGCCAUGAGGCUUUCCUAAAUUUUUUUUCUAUUUACAUGCCUGUCUCUUAGAAAGAGCUUGGACCAGACACAGGCCGCUUAUUGUUCAAGGUAUUAAAUGUAUCACAACUUCACCGGGCAAUAGCAUUUGUCCGGCCGAUCUUUCCAUUGGCAUCUCGUCUUGUUUAUAAGAUGGUUCCAGUCCAGGAAUUCUUUGACGAAUUAAGGGACUCACUACCACCUAGACUAGUGAUGAUAGCAUUACUCUAAAGGAAAUGCUUUCUUUGUUUAUAACGAGAUGUCGGGAAAUGAUUUUUGACAAGGUUUAUGAUGAUUUACAGGAAAACUAGCAGCUUCGAAAGCGAUUGAUCUGGGAAUUGCAAAGGACAAUCAGAAUCUGCAAUUUGCACAACUAUAUGGAAUGUCAGAAGCCCUUUCUCUGGGUUUAGUUAAUGCAGGUUUUAGAGUUAGCAAGUACUUGCCAUUUGGACCUGUUGACCAAAUUAUACCUUAUCUUCUAAGGAGAGCUGAAGAAAAUAGAGGCCUAUUAUCAGCUUCAUCACUUGACAGACAUCUCAUGAAGUAAAUAUCUUUAUGUAUAUUGAGCAAUUUUCAAUUUUACAGGACUAAAUGUGUGUUAAUUCAUUCAUUAUUUGCUAUGCAGGAAGGAAUUAAUGAGGAGAUUAACAUCAUCGAUUACAUGACAUUUUCGGAAAGUUGGAUUUUGUUUGAGCAACAAUCGAAUUUCAUCAUAUUAUAGUACUCAUAUAGGAGGAGGAAAGAAUCGACCUAGCUUAUGAUCAAAUAUAAUUGUACAAAGGUUGAAACGAAAAGAAAAAUCUGUCAAAUGCUAUUAAGAUUCUUGUACUUAUCAAAUGAAGCAUUGUAUAUCGGUGUACAAGACUUUUCCGUUUUCGAGAAGACCCUAUCGAGUUUACAGAUGGAUCGACUAUGGUGCCAUAUCUAUUAGACAGCGAAGUAUAAGACAAUUUACUUGCAUGUGAUUCAUCACAGUGAACACACCAAAGGAAAAAUGUAAAAAUAAAAAUAAAAAUAAAUCAAUCAAUCUUUUAAGAUUUGCCUAAAAUUUAGAGCUCCAUAAUUU